CAUCCAUCCACUCCCGAGGGCCGCUGCCAGCCACAUCUUCCUGGGGAUCCAUCCGCGCCAACCAGCAGCCUCCGACCAUCUCCCUUGAUUUCCGCCGCCACCCAACCAGUGCAUCCCCUCCGAUCCAUCCUUCCCGUGCCCACCCUCUCGAUCCAGGAGCCCAAGCUCCCCUGCCUGAGGUCGCCGUCUUCGACCGGCCUCGCCGGAGACCACGCGUCUUGCUCCUCCUCGAUCUCUCCAGUCUGAACCCCAUGGCCGAGCCGCCGGAGCGAGCUCCACCAGCGACCACCUCCAACAGGACAGUUGCGUCCCUCUCCUCUGCUUCCUCCCGUUUCCCUUCUUCUCGUAUCUCUCUCUCACCUCACGGUCUCUCUCUCUUCCUUCAGGACCAACAUGAGCUGCACCCGAUCUCCUCCGCGAGCCUCGCCGGAGCCACUCGCUGGAGCCAAGGCCGCCGCCUCAGUUCAUCGUGCCGCUUCCAGUCCCGCCGGAUCCGCUGCCUGCAGGCCUCAUCUCGGCCGGAUCCGCCGCUGCAGCUGUUACCUGCUUGCCCCAUCGAACCUCGCUGCAGGCCUCGCUUCCCCUGCUUCGAGUAGUGGCUCGGGAUCGAGCGCAGCCGCGCGCUUCCACCUUGUUGACCAGUCCAUGCAGGCACCAGCCGCCAGCGCCCCUGCUACGCCUCGGGAACUAGCGCGUUGACCGCGCCCCCUCCACCUCCUUGUUCGAUCCAACCAAGUGCCAGCUGCGACUGGCCCAGCCCCGCCCUUCGGCCCCCCAGCCCAUCACCGUCCGGCCCAGUGGCCCAUGGUGAGCAGCCCAGCCACGCCCAGCAGUUUCAGCCCAAUCAUGUUUUUUUUCUGCUCUCGCGAAUUUAGCAAUUAUCCACAGGACCAACAGUUUUACAAAAAACCAAAUAUCAUGCAUAUAAUAACUCCACAACCGUGCAUCAUAUAUAUAUGUAAAUUGAUUAGAAUUUCAUCUAGUUUCACAAUAUCUAGGAUUGCCUAGAAUUUGCUUGUUUGUUUGCCAACCUUUGAAUGUGCAUAACUACAUGGAAUUAUCUUGAUGAAUGAUUUCCAAAUUACUCUUUGAAAGAUUUGAAUGAAAUUUUGUCGGCGUUCUCGGAACCAAGGUACCCAUACAUGCCUGCCUGCCGCCCACAGCGUGGCUCCAUCAACGGCCUGUUCGGCACAUCUUUAGCGUCGACAAGACAAGACCCUCGCGAGGGGCAAGCCUCGCGAGGCGGAUGACACCAAUACCUCCAGAGGGAGCGGCCUCCCCAGGCGGCCUCCCAAGGAGCGGAGGUUCCUAUGCAAGCGCCUACCUCAUGAGGUUUGGGUGGCGCAAGCCAUGACGACCAAGGCCAGGCGGGCGCCAGUAGAUGCAGAGCAGUAGGUUUCCUAUUUGGCGCUAAGAAGGCAAGGGCAGGCGCGGGGUCCCUAGGACUCAGCCAAAGGUUUCCAUUCCGGUGCAACAAGACCAAGACCGCCAGGACGGAUGUCAUCGCCGAGCCCACCACGGCGUCACGAGAAGAGGCUUUGCACGCGAAGACCACCUUUCAUCAGGAUAAGAUGUACUACUGGUCUCCCUUCCAACUUGGCCAUUGUGCGAUCCCUUCCCGCCUUCGUUUUGCAGGAAGAGGACCGAGGCCACUAUAAAUAUAGCUUAGCCACCACCAUAGGAGCGGAGCCAGAAUCUGACCCCUCACUAGCUCACACUCACAUAAGAACAAACCUCCUGAGGUUGUUCUUCCUCUGUACUAGUUCAUCCUCAGCCCCUUGCGAGGCUAAUCCAUCCCAAAGCACGAGUAGGGUCUGUGACACCCAAGUUUUUAUUUGGAUUUUUUCAAAAAGAUUUCUAUUUGACUUGA